UGCUACACUGUAAACCUGAAUAGUCCAAUGAGCUCAAAAGUUUCAUAAUCACCGAACUCAAAAGUAACAAACAAGUUGAGUCAGCUUAAAACCUAUAAGCCGAUUCAACUUUUGCCACAAUUAUAUCUUUAUUGGACUAAAACAGUUUGAGUAAAUGAAACCUUGGAGUCAAAACUUAUGAGUAAUGAGACGUGAUGAUGUCAUAACGUACGCCCAUGAACGUGAACUCAGCCACAGAAGUCUUCAAGAUGGCGGAGGUCUGAUGCGAGUGGCAGCUGGCCCAAGUUGAUAACUCACAUACGUCUAGGUAAGUCGUAUUAUUUUAUUUUUUAUUGUAUUUUUUGACUUUCGCCUCUGUAUUAUAUAUUUGUUGCUUCUUUUGAUGUUCCUUCUAGUAUAUCCUUUGUAUUCAUGACGUGCUCCACGAGUUUGUAUCUUCGAAUAUUUGUUCUGAAUUAAACAAUUAUGUAUGUUUUGCAGUAUCAUGUCACCAGAGAAUUAUUGCUUGUGGUUAAAAGAAGUUGUUGGUGCAAAGUUUCAAGUUUUACGUUUACCGAGUUGGUUGGCGCACAUUUUAAAUGAUCUAACCGUUACUACUAGCUAACCGUUACUACUAGCUAACCGCUAGCUCUGGCAGAGCGGCUGCCACAGUCAGUGGGAGUCAGCGGGAUGUUAGCAGCUUAGCUUGCCCCCCCCCCCUGUUGCUAUGUUUUCUUUGGUGUGACUGCGGUUGUCAGGGAAAUGACGCGGCGACGGAAGGAGGCGUCGCCUUGGGGCGCAGGCGCACGAGAGGGGAAAAUGCACGGGAGAGGAAAAAGGGAGGGGCUGUUUUGGUGCAUGUAGUUCAGUUUGAAUGAGAAGGCGUUCGGAGACGUUGUGCUGUAAGAGUUGAUCUGACCAAAGAAAAUAAACGGCUAAAAGGCCUGUUCCAAAGCAACGGUGUCCCGCUGAAUCUGUUACCAUUUAAGUCCCGAUCGGACUGGAGAUCAUAACAGCGGUUUCCGACUUCGGUCCGAAGCCUCACGCUGAAGUGAACCGGCGGUGCGUUUGAAAAAUAAGGGCGGAGAUGUGAGCUGAGUUUCAUUGCAUCAAAAAUGUCAACCUGCGAAAACAGUUUUAUUUUGACCUGGACAGACAGACGCAGAGGAUGCUGAUCUUUUUGAGACAGAAGGCAGCACGAACCGGAAGGCUCAUUUCCCUAAUAGGAGUGUAAGUUACAAUACCGUUUUAAUGUGAUUUGUUGUAAUAAGGAUGUACACAUUAUUAACACAAUAAGUGUUUUUGAUGGUGCUUUGUUUUAUGCAAUGUUCAGGGCAUGAAUGACACACAUUUUGCCACUGUUUCUGGCUUAUGAUUCAAAGUUGUUAAAGGAGGGACAAUAACCCUGUAACGUAAUGCUGUUUUUAAAUAAAACAGUAAAAAAAACUUUUGUGUUGCAUAUUUUUCUUAAUUGAAACGUUCUAGUUUAGCAAAUGCAAUGAAUACAAUGGUUUAGUUACUUCAACUUAAAAUAGUAAGUGGAGUUCAUAUGACGAGUUAAUUGAUAUUACAAGAGAUUGUAAGUGAAAUCAACUUGGCAAUUAGUAUUUUGAACUUAAAAUGAUAAUUCCACCCUUUCAUGCAUUUAAGUUAAAUGCACUCAAGUUUUCAUAACCCAUUACUUAAAAAAUUUAAGGCAACCAGUUUCCUCAAAUUUUUUAAGUAAAUUCAACUUAUCCGGGCUUACAGUGUAGACAGUGCUCUGAACCUUUUU